GAGACUCUGUGCGCGUGCAUAUCAAUAAGCGGAGGAAAAGAAACUAACAAGGAUUCCCCUAGUAACGGCGAGUGAAGCGGGAAGAGCUCAAAUUUGAAAUCUUAAAGGGUUUCCCUUGACGAAUUGUAGUUUAUAGAAGUGUUUUCUGUUAGGAGUUCGGUAAAAGGUUCUUUGGAAUAGGACAUCAUAGAGGGUGAGAAUCCCGUAUUUGGAUCCGUUACUUUCCUAGCUUUGUGAUACACUUUCAAAGAGUCGGAUUGUUUGGGAAUGCAGUCCAAAAUGGGUGGUAAAUUUCAUCUAAAGCUAAAUAUUGGCGAGAGACCGAUAGCGAACAAGUACCGUGAGGGAAAGAUGAAAAGAACUUUGAAAAGAGAGUUAAACAGUACGUGAAAUUGUCAAAAGGGAAGCGUUUGACACCAGUGUUGUUUAGUUGAAAAUCAAUUCAAUAGUUUUUGAUUCUAAGUAGUAUUGACUUCAUCAGCUUGCUGCUUUCUUCUCAGAAAUAAUUGAAUGCACUUUUCAGUUAACAAGUCAACAUCAAUUUCUUUUGUUGUAAAAGGGUAAGAGGAAGGUGGCUUACGCUUCGGCGUAAGUGUUUAUAGCCUUUUACCUCUGCAAUCGGGGAGGUUGAGGACAGCAGCGUAGACUCUUCGGGGUUGGAUACACUUGUGCUAAGCUAUAGCCUUGUAUAGACAACUUGUUGACUAUGCUCAGUCAUGUAGCUUACUCGCUUGUGCUAUUUUACCUACGCUUAGGAUGUUGACAGCAGUAUAGACUGU
rnacentral:rRNA from 1 species